UAAAUGACUCUCGGCAACGGAUAUCUCGGCUCUUGCAUCGAUGAAGAACGUAGCGAAAUGCGAUACUUGGUGUGAAUUGCAGAAUCCCGUGAACCAUCGAGUCUUUGAACGCAAGUUGCGCCCGAAGCCAUUAGGUUGAGGGCACGCCUGCCUGGGUGUCACAA
rnacentral:rRNA from 1 species